rnacentral:rRNA from 1 species
UCUGUCUCAUAUAGGGAAGACCCGUGUUCUGAAGCAUCACUUGCUGCGGAGGCCAUUUUUACUACCUAGGAUACUCGGAGGAAGUGCCACCAAAGAAAGUAGAGUUCGUCGACCUAAUCCCCCGAGAAAUGUGGUUGAGAGGCUUUUUGCCUUACGAAACUGUUCAACCGGC